AAAACUCAAAGGCGUAAUGAAAGUAAAUAGUGGAAUACUGAUUUUAUUGAAUUUAUUCUAUUUAAUCAGUUUCCCUAUAGGGAGGAUGGAAUAUUUGUCAGUAAUCAUUUUAUUAGUUUUUAACUAAUUUUAUUAUUGUUCAAGGUUUCCCGCACUCCCGGGGCGCUUGUUUCUCGCUUUGCGAGUCAGUGCGCACCUAGAGCGUACACGAUGAUACCCGAAAGAUGGUGAACUAUGCCUGGCCAGGACGAAGCCAGGGGAAACCCUGGUGGAGGUCCGCAGCGAUUCUGACGUGCAAAUCGAUCGUCGGAGCUGGGUAUAGGGGCGAAAGACCAAUCGAACCAUCUAGUAGCUGGUUCCCUCUGAAGUUUCCCUCAGGAUAGCUUGCGCUCAAGUGAAAAGAGUCUCAUCCGGUAGAGCGAAUGAUUAGAGGCAUUGGGGUCGAAACGACCUCAACCUAUUCUCAAACUCCAAAUAGAUGAGACCCCCGGCUUUCUUAAAAAUGAAGCCGUGGGAAUUGGAUCAGAGUGCCAAGUGGGCCAAU
rnacentral:rRNA from 1 species